rnacentral:lncRNA from 1 species
AAAGAUAAGGAUAAAGAUAAGAAGAUCAGGAUAAAGAUAAGGAAGAUAAAGAUAAGGAAGAUAAAGAUAAGGAAGAUAAAGAUAAGGAAGAUAAAGAUAAGGAAGAUAAAGAUAAGGAAGAUAAAGAUAAGGAAGAUAAAGAUAAGGAGAAGGAACAUAAAGAUUAAGAUAAGGAAGAUAAAGAUAAGGAUAAAAAUAAAGAUAAGGAUAAAGAUAAGAGGAUAAAGAUAAAGAUAAGGAAGAUAAGGAAGAUAAAGAUAAGGAUAAGGAACACAAAGAUUAAGAUAAGGAUAAAGAUAAGGAUAAAGAUAAGGAUAAAGAUAAGGAUAAAGAUAAGAAGAUAAAGAUAAAGAUAAAGAUAAGGAAGAUAAAGAUAAGGAAGAUAACGAUAAGGAUAAAGAUAAAGAUAAGAAGAUAAAGAUAAAGAUAAGGAAGAUAAAGAUAAGGAAGAUAAAGAUAAGGAAGAUAAAUAUAAGGUAGAU